ACGUGUCCUCAUCCGUAUAAUUAUAUCCCACGAAAAUACAAAAAUAACAACCCUUAAAAAAAUCUCUAACAAAUUAAAUCCCUAACCUUAUCCUAACAAACUUUAUCCUAACAACCCACACUACUCCCCACAUCACCCCACCCAUUUCCCCUCAUAUUUUUCCUUUUUGGGGUCCAUAACAGAAUAUAAAACAAAAAGGGGGAAAGGGGGACCCACAGAGAAGGGCGCAGAAGGGAAUACGCACAACAGAGUGGAGAAUUUUCUUUUCUUCUGCGCCAUCACAGAAUACAACAUACACACGCAGAAGCCUCCCUGACCAUUUCCUCUCACAGUACAUAAAUACCCUCACACUCACUGAUAAGAAAAAUAACCCAUCCAUCAACACCAAGAUAGACACAGAAUAUGCCAUAGGCGUACAUCUCUCAAAUACACCCAUAGAUAUAGGCGAUUAUACGAAAAUUGGGUGAGGGUGAAGCGAGAUCGAGCGAAAAAUAGAGAGAAAGAGGGGAUCGAACCGGAGAGAGUGAGAUUUGAGGUUGAGAGUUAAAAGCAGAGAAGAAACGUGCGAGAGAGAAAUUUGGACUGAGUUUUUCACCGGAAACGUUGUCGCUACAGAUCGCAUCUCCGUUUCUAGUUGCUGCCGAACUUACUGGAGCUCAGGAGUAGCAAAGGGUCCUCGUUUUUCAGUUCAAAAUCCACCGGAAAACACCCAGUCACUGUUCCUGUUACUGUUCCGACGGGUCCACCGGAUUUUCGAACUCAUUGACUCUCUUAUUGCGAUUUCUGUUUUGGUUCAUCGAGCUCGGUACUAGUUUUGAAAUUUAAGUUCGAUUUCAGUUUCGGGUUUGGAUUUCUCCCAAUUCGAGUUGGUUUUGUUUUGUUGUUGGGGUUCCCUUUCGAAGAUUUCGGUCUCGAAUUUCUUUCUUAUCGACAAAAACAUUAUAUUGAGAUGUAUUUAUUUGGCUGGAGAAUGCCCCGAGGUAUUUGUGUUCAUUCGCCGGGAAUGCCCCGAAGUAUCAUGUACUUGAAGACAACGCACGGUCAAAGCCCGAAAUGUCGGGUGAAGCUUUAUUCAGGAGUAUUUUAAGGAUAGUUUGGAAUAGAAUGGGUUUACAUUUUCGCAUUUUUCAUUAUUUGGGACUGUAUAGUUGGACUGGACACUAUAUUUUUUUAUUCAUUUUGUUUUGUUUGUU